UGUGUCAUAUUUGGUAACAGGCCCAGGAACUUAAGUAGAAAUUUAUUAUUGAAUGAUGUUGAAAUUGAAAUUGUAACCGAAAACAAAUUUCUUGGAGUUCUACUUGAUGAUAAAUUAA